CAGGAAGUACCUGAACACCUUCUGAGGACAUGUCCCUGACUGAGGAUGUGUCUGUCACUAAGCCUCGAGUCUUCAAAAUUCCAUCACUGUCCUGUAUGGCUACCCACAGGGCCAAGUCCCAAAAGAUGAGGUUUUGAAAGAACAAAAGCAACUCAAAUCACAGCAGAGGCCACACAUGGUAUAGCAACAUUCAAACAAACAAAAUUCUACUUCUUUUCUGUUUCUACUACCCAGUCUGUAUGUGGCAGCUUUCGGCAAACAGUCAACAACUUAUAAAUAAAAUACAUGCCUGUAUAGGAUGAGUAGAGUUUGUACAUUCCCUUGACGUGUUAUGUGUUCUGGGUAUACUGCGUCUAUUUAAUGGGUUUGGCUGUUGUGACCAGACACGACUUGUCUGCUUUGGUUUUUGUUUGUUGUUAUUUUCCUGCUAGAAUGACCACUACAGAAUGUUCCCAUUGCCUGCACCUGGAUCUGGCAUAUCACUUGGUUCUUCCAGUAAGCUAUAGGUGGAAAUGAGGCACAUGCUAGACACCCAAAGACAUCCUGAUACGAUGUUCUCAGACACAGUUCCUUUCCAUGAUCUGCGCGGUGCUGCUCCUACAGUGUAGCUUGGGGUCCCUGGUGGCACUGAUCCUACAGUGUAACUUGGGGUCCCCGAGUUGAAAGCGCGGGGGUCUUGAGAUACCCACUGUGAUAUGGGAUCAGAAGUCACCUCCACCCAAACGGGAAGAGAGAGGUUACAAUUAUACAACUGGGCAACCUUUAUUUCCGCACAGACCACAGACCCAGAACCAUUUCUCACACAGCAGCCGACUGGGCAGAGCCAAAAAAGGAAGAGUUCAGCCCUGCCUGCUGCUGCUGCCCAGUGAUGUUUAUAUGCUGUAGCAAAGCCCCCUGUAGGAAAAGAAUAUUGUUCCGGGAGCCCUGUCAGCUAACCACUGAAGGAUGGGAAGCUGGUGGAUGCUGCCAACCUGACUCUGGUUCAACAAAGAGUUUGGGGGAGCAGACAUUGUUGGUUAGAAACUUAGAAAAAUUCUGAGGAUGUGCUAUUGUAAUGGUGCUAUUUUAGCAAUGUCAGAAGUGUUGAUAUUGGAUCUAGGACACAUGAAUCCCAAAGCCCUAUGCUGUCUUUAGUAGAAGGUGUGGUUUCUUUUAUUUUGGUGUGCUUGGGAUUUCCCUCCUCCCCCGAGUAAGAACGUCUCCCCAUGUUUCUUAGGCUAUCAUUGAGAAUGUCAGUCCUCCCAAGGUCUGAGCUCCACUAGGGUUUUUCCGCCCUCUAAAAUCUAGCAUGUGACGAAUUCCUGUCCUUCCACAGUAGAGCAGUCUCCUAAGCUGCUCUUUCUGAGCAGAUCUGAGCAGAGGCCAACAGAGCGGCUCUUCUUGUACACACUCCAACCCUGUCUUCCAACCAAGAGCCUAGAAGCAAAGGAUUCUGAGAGUCCUGGGUUGCAAGAUGGAAAUAAGGCUAGUGACCGAGACACACUUUGGAGGACCGCUUCUUAAACAGGCAGUGUAUCUUUUGUUUACUGAAUUUGGAUCUUGGUAAACACCGUGACAGUGCUCUGUACAGACUCAAAGAAAAGCUAGAAAUACAGACCGGAAUUAGCAAAACACUAGACAGGAAACAGUAAGAAGUAAGGUCCGACCACCAUCUAAGUGCUGCUGACAAUGUCGUUCUGUGGAACCUGGCAAGGGAAGGUUAAAAUCCCCAGACCAUCCAGGCUCACUGCUUAUGGCUAAGAUCAAAGAGUUCUGAAUGUAGGAGGUGAGAGGGGAUAG
rnacentral:lncRNA from 1 species